CCGUAGGUGAACCUGCGGAGGGAUCAUUAC
rnacentral:rRNA from 4 species